GGACAAAGAGCUUGGCUUGGAUCCUGCAUGGUCCCCUGUUUGACCACAAUGACAGGUCCAGGACAGAGUCUGGAUCUUGGUCUUUCCAACCUCUGGUGUUGGUAUCUAGGCACAUAGGUCCCCACUACAGUUUUCUUUGUACCAAAGCACACUUUCACCUACUUUUUCUGCAUAGUACCAUAGCAGAUACAGUGGCACUAAGGGCCCCUCCAGAGUCACUCCUUACUCUAGUUCUCUAGCUGUCCUUGAAGUUGCAUUGCAGGCUCCUGGGGAGUCAAGGCCCUGUGCCCCUGUGCCAUUGCUGAUCCUGCAUGAUGGACCUGGACCAGGGCCCUCCUCAGUGUUCAGAGCUAGACACCAAAGGCCCCCAUGUGCCCUCUGCAUUUUCUUCUACCUCAGCUUUCCAAGUAGGUGGGAAUACAAGCACACACCCCUGCACUUUGAUCUGAAUUCUUUUUAAAUAUUAAAUUAUGGCAGGAUUAAACACAGAGGAAAGAGCGAAAGCUCCUGAGGCGGGUGGCAGAGGCUUCUCUGAGCAUUGUGUUCAAAGUCGGCGGGAAGCAAACGUAUCGAAAGCUACAGGCUCCAACGAUCCCUUUUACCAGCAUAAUGGCAGUCCCAGACCCCAAAAGGGACAUAGUUUUGGAUGUCAGCAGUACAAGCAGUGAAGACAGUGAUGAAGAGAAUGAGGAACUAUAUAUAUUGCAGGCAUUACAGGAGAAAAGAAUAAAUGAAGAAGAGGAGAAGAAAAAAGAAAAAAGUAAAGGGAAAAUCAAGUUGAAAAAGAAAAGGAAAGGGUCUUAUUCCAGUUCCACUGAAGAAGACUCUUCUAAACAAAAGAAACAAAAAUUUCAGAAGAAAGAAAAGAAAAAAGAAAAAAAGAACAAAUCAAAAAAAGGAAAACAUCACAAAAAAAAAAAAAGAAGAGAAAAAAGGAAAAGCAUUUUUCUAUUCCUAAUCGUUCUGAGUUCACAAAAAAGUAACUGAGACCUUGGCCUAAGUCAUUAAAUUUAAAAUACCAUCUUUAAAAAUGGCCCUUUCUUGGAUUUUGCUAUAUAAUUAUGCUUUGUGAUAAACCCCAUUCUUUUCCAUAUAGACAUUUUUCAUCAGUGGGACCAUUAUCCCUCUGGCCUUAUGUAUUCAGAUAAGUCUUAUUACCUGAUAGCCAUGCCCCAGGUAUAGAUAUUUGGGCAUACAGAGCACAUGAUUUUUGGUAUUUGUAUCUCUGUUUGGCUAGUGUUAUUACUUCAUAAGUUGAUUGUAAAUGACUUUUUUACAGUCAACAUGAGCAAUCUACCUAACAGUUAAUGAAUAUUCCUGAAUCAAGUGUCCACCUUUCAGCAAAGAAGCUAGGUAAAGAGUAAUGAUUUGUUGUUAAUGCUAAAAAAUAGAAUAGCUUUAUAUAUUAUGACAUAAUAUGUAAAGAUAGUGAAAUUCAUUACUCUGGUUUUUAAAUCUCUAGGCUUUUUAAAAUAGCAUAGGAGAUGAAACUGCUUUACUGAUCUUGAGUAGUUCUUUUUAAAUGAAUGGUGUGUGCAGGAAGAUGAUAACGAGAAUAUUUAUCACAAAAUUUCAUUGCUUUAUAAAAUGAAGAGUUUCUAGUACCUGCCUCCCUUUUGUUUAGUAAUAAUUAAAACAUUUAUUCCUUGGUUAGAAACUAGUUCAACCUGUGAGAAAGUCUGGCAGAGAUGAUGCUAUGUUGGUCAGAGUGUUUAGGGUAGACUCCUGGGUUUUACAAAUGUGCCAUAUUGGCAUAUCUUACAGAGAUACCUCAAAACAGCCAAAUCUUCAUUAGAAAUGAUAUUUAUUGUAUUUAAUAUGUAAACAUUGUGAAGCUUAUGUCUAUGAGUAAUGUGGAAAAAUUUUAUAAACAUUAGAGUAUAUAAAAAAAAACGCAGAGGAAAUUUAAUUAUCAUGCCAAUUAAAACUGGCUUGUUUGGGAAAUUUGGUUGUGACCUCUCAUUGCUCCUCGUGCUUUGGAAAGCCAGAAACAACUCAGGUUCAGCUUGGUGAUAUGGAACUGUAGCAUGUGUCACUCUAUUUUCAUUUUUAGCCUGUUCUGUUAAGGGACUUAGUCUGACAAAUGAGGGCCUCCUGUGAUUUUUAUUUGACACUGCUAACACUCCUCUGUCAUCACGUACAGUGAAAACCCGUGAACACUUCUUUGUAAACCUCCAAACCCACCGCUGAGUGAGAUGGCUUCCCAAGCAGAAUGCUCCCUGCCCUGCUAGGAUGG
rnacentral:lncRNA from 1 species